rnacentral:rRNA from 1 species
UACGUAGGGUGCAAGCGUUGUCCGGAAUUAUUGGGCGUAAAGAGCUCGUAGGCGGUCUGUCGCGUCGGCUGUGAAAACCCGGGGCUCAACCCCGGGCCUGCAGUCGAUACGGGCAGGCUGGAGUUCGGUAGGGGAGACUGGAAUUCCUGGUGUAGCGGUGAAAUGCGCAGAUAUCAGGAGGAACACCGGUGGCGAAGGCGGGUCUCUGGGCCGAUACUGACGCUGAGGAGCGAAAGCGUGGGGAGCGAACAGG